CACAGCACAAAACAAUAAAUACCACAAACCUCCCUUACCUCCUAGAAAAACACCGAGCCACCCUAUAAACAUAGACGUACUUAUGCUAAAACUAGUAACAAGAAUAUAUCUCUUCCGCACAUCUGUGCCCCAGAAAUAGAAAACCUGCUGGAUAUUAACAGACCCAAACAGGCAUAACACAAACCGUGCCAUCCCACUGUCAAACCGACACAGGAGUGCUACCAAGACAGAUUAAAAGUUAUAUAAGGAACUCAGCAAGACCCUGUCCCAACUGUUUACCAAAAACAUAGCCUUUAGCCAAACAAGUAUUAAAGGUCCCGCCUGCCCAGUGAAACAUUUAAACGGCCGCGGUAUUCUAACCGUGCAAAGGUAGCGUAAUCACU
rnacentral:rRNA from 1 species